AGAUGUGAGGGCGGUCUGGCUGUGACAUCUGUCACCCACUGAUCGCCAGGGUUGAUUCGGCUGAUCUGGUUGGCUAGGUGGGGGUCCCCUUUCUCCCUCACUGCUCCAUGUGCGUCCCUCCCAAAGCUGCACGCUCAGUCGAAGAGGACGACCACCCCCGAUAGAGGAGGACCGUUUCCUCGGUCAAGGGUGUAUGAGUAGCUGCGCUCCCCUGCUAGAACCUCCACACAAGCUCUCAAGUUUAUUGGUACAUUUAGGUGUGCGAUACAGUUACAUUCAUCAUUGGGAUCUUGUACCUUUACAUGAGUAUCUUGGUUCUUAUU
rnacentral:snRNA from 1 species